CGAACCUCUUCUCACUAAACCCGCCCAGGCCGUGGCACCGCGUGGUGGGCAGUAGGGGCGGACGAAUUCGUGCCUCAGGAACAAAAACGGUGAAGGCACCAUCAUCCAGCCUGUGACCUCCACUGUGUCCCAGCAGCUUGUCUCCCUCACUCCAAAUGUCCCCAAACUCAGCAGGCCAGGGAAAUGGGCCUGAGAUCCCUGCUGGGCUGCUAGAGAACCAAACCAAACAAGAAACAAAGAAACGUGAUCAGGGUGGCCGGUGGGCCUGAGGUCUGACCCCGCCUCCUCCUCCUCCUCCCCCUCCCCCUCCCCCUUUCUGUUUAAAGAGAAACCUCAGGGAGGUGGACAAGAGUUAGCGCAGGAACCUGGGCCUCUCUGCUCCGCCUCCUGAGUGGCAUGAGCCCCACACAAUGGCUCAGACACCAGCUCUGUCCUGCAGAAAUGAGUGAGGUUUCCCGGAGGCAGCUGGCCCUGGUGGCCCGAGUCAGUCCCCAACCACAGAGUGAGCCCACCUGACAAAUGUCCAGGUGAGAACAGGCUCUGUGAGGGUCGUAAAGUCUCCGCUGAAAUUCUGUUUGGCUGUGCACGCACAAGCGUGUCCGUGUGUGCGUCUGCCUUACUGUUACUGUUCUUCUUUUUCAGGACUGUGACGUUCGAACAUGAGCAGGGAUCCCCAUUCUGUUCUAACCGGAAAUGUAUACGUCUCCAACCCCAUCUUCCUUCCGGGGUGCGGACGUGGUACAGUAUUCAAUUUGGAAGGCUGGGAUAUUCGGAGACGGCGGGCAUGACAGGAUGGGGUUGCAACGAGGGCCAGCAGUCAAAAAGGCCACUUGAUACACUGAGUCCAAGACACUGACGUCCGAGCCAGGUGACUCUGGACAAAGUGGAUGGCUCUGAGCCUCGUCAGCAGCAUAAGAAUGAGACCCUGCCCACAGACCCCUAAGGACUCACCGGGUUCAGCAUGCGUGGGGCGCUUGUUUGCUGCGAGCCCAAACCUCGGCUUCCCUGUCUGAAGGAGACCGAGAAGGGCAACAAGAGCCCAAACCACUGGAAACAGGCCAGGAGCUCCUCCUCCAGGCAGCCACAGCCUCCAAGCUUAACACAUGAGACUAAUAUUAUACUCAGUGGGGCACCACUCCAACCAGGUAGAAGCAAACUUCCAGGGUUCAAGUCGCAGCUCUGCCGGCUGCUGGAGAAACUUGAAUACCUUGCCUCACCUCUCUGUGCCUCUGUUUCCUUACAUGCAAGGUUGAGGAUGAUCCUAAUAGUACCUGCCUCAGGAACCGCUGUGAAGAUUAAAGGAGCAGUGUCGGCACACAACUGUCCCAUCAUCUUCUGUGCCAGGCAGCUGACCCAGGGCUGGGGGUGAAAAUAUGUGCUAAGUAAAUAAGUGACUGACACAUCUGUAGUCAUCAGCUCCACUUACAGACGAGAAGCUUGAAGCUCAGGAAGGCAUCAGUCAAAGCAGGAGAAGAAGGCAUUAAGUGAGCUUCCAUUGUGUGCAGGACCCUACUCUGGGAGCCUUGCGCAACAUGUCUAUUCAUGGGCAUAGAUGACUCAGAACUCACAGCCGUUCACGGGUCCCCAUUUCCUGGGCCUUAUCGAAGAUAGGCUGGUUCCAUCUUUGCCCUUUAUUGCACGUGGACUAGUGUCUGGCAAAUCAGCACUUUGCACCUCUUCACCAUAAUGAUUGGCUCUGCACUGGUCAGGUGGCCCAGUCUGGCCCAAUGAAUGGCCUGGCUGCAAGUUUAGGAGACCACUGAGAAACAGUCUCUUCCUGUCAGGGCUGCUAAGGCAGACAGGACUCAGCUUAACCUAGAACUCUCAUGGAAGAAAGCAAAGCCCCACGGGGGGGCAGAAAGAAACAGAGCUGGGCUGUAUGAGUUGCAGCAGGAACAUGGGCCAGUAAGUCCUCUCCUUCCUUAAGCCAGUAUAAUUUGAGUUUGUCACUUGUCAUCAAAAGAUUCCCUGCUGACACCAAUAGCCCAGCUGGCCCUUGACCAUGGAUCUUUAAUAUACAUUGUGCUAAGUGUGAUACUCUCUUGGCAAAAAAUCACUCUGGUCCCUAGCCAAGGAACAAAACUCAUGAUACCCCAAAGCUGUUCUGGGAGACCAAAC
ensembl:lincRNA